UUCUAUGGCGGACCGUGCGAGGCGGGCGCAAGCCCACCGGUUCCUAUCGUCCCGGUAUUCCACACCUCGCACGGUCCGCCACCCUC
rnacentral:antisense_RNA from 1 species